CUUAACUAAUUUAGUUCCAAACAAAAAUCAUAGUUUCCUAACUAAACAACACAAGUGGCAGGAUUUAUUCUCAGCCAUUGAUUGUAUAUGCCAUUUCAACGGUCUGGAUUCACAGUCACAAAUCUUGACAAGAUAGAUAUCUAUCUUCAAUUACCACCCUUGGAUCAAUUCUUUUCCUUUUCACAUUAAUGUUCCAGAUUAAAAAAAAUUUAUUUAUCAUCCUCUUUUCUUUUCUAUUUCAUCAUCUUCUUCUUAGCUGACAUUUUUUUUCCAAAUUCCAGAAAAACGACAAACCGCUGCCAUAACAGAGAUGAGGACAUAGAUGACGGCGGUGAUGGGGACGAGGAUGAAGACAUUGAAGAUGCAUGAGAGAGGAUGAAGAGGACACAAGUGAUUUGGUGUAGAAGAAUUGAUGAAACAAAAGAGAGGAAUUGGUGAAGAAGAGCAAGAGAGCGAUAGAUGUGAGAAACUUCUAAAGAGGUAGUUUUCAAGGAACUGUCAAAAACACAGCUCAAACAUAAACAAAAAUAUAUCUUUAUAGUUUUUAGAUUUGGAGUCACGAGAUCUGAAUCACUGGCUGAAAUUCAUGUAAGUAUUAUGGAGUAAGAAGUAGUAGCUUAAUUUCUUGAAUAAUAUAUUCACCACUUUUCAAUUUAUGUGUUUGAGUAUGUUUUCGUUUGUUUUUCAUGUUUUGAGAUGUAAUGUGGUUGAGGAUGACUUUUAUA